rnacentral:rRNA from 1 species
GACGAACGCUGGCGGCGGUGCCUAAUACAUGCAAGUCGAACGAACUCUGGUAUUGAUUGGUGCUUGCAUCAUGAUUUACAUUUGAGUGAGUGGCGAACUGGUGAGUAACACGGUGGGAAACCUGCCCAGAAGCGGGGGAUAACACCUGGAAACAGAUGCUAAUACCGGCAUAACAACUUGGACCGCAUGGUCCGAGUUUGAAAGAUGGCUUCGGCUAU